rnacentral:rRNA from 1 species
UACAGAGGGGGCAAGCGUUGUUCGGAAUUACUGGGCGUAAAGGGCGCGUAGGCGGCCCGCUAAGUCGAACGUGAAAUCCCUGGGCUCAACCCAGGAACUGCGUCCGAUACUGGCAGGCUUGAAUCCGGGAGAGGGAUGCGGAAUUCCAGGUGUAGCGGUGAAAUGCGUAGAUAUCGGGAGGAACACCAGUGGCGAAGGCGACUACCUGGCCUGUUCUUGACGCUGAGGCGCGAAAGCUAGGGGAGCAAACGGG